rnacentral:rRNA from 1 species
CGGCAGGCCUAACACAUGCAAGUCGAACGGUAACAGGAAGCAGCUUGCUGUUUCGCUGACGAGUGGCGGACGGGUGAGUAAUGUCUGGGAAACUGCCUGAUGGAGGGGGAUAACUACUGGAAACGGUAGCUAAUACCGCAUAACGUCGCAAGACCAAAGAGGGGGACCUUCGGGCCUCUUGCCAUCGGAUGUGCCCAGAUGGGAUUAGCUAGUAGGUGGGGUAACGGCUCACCUAGGCGACGAUCCCUAGCUGGUCUGAGAGGAUGACCAGCCACACUGGAACUGAGACACGGUCCAGACUCCUACGGGAGGCAGCAGUGGGGAAUAUUGCACAAUGGGCGCAAGCCUGAUGCAGCCAUGCCGCGUGUAUGAAGAAGGCCUUCGGGUUGUAAAGUACUUUCAGCGGGGAGGAAGGGAGUAAAGUUAAUACCUUUGCUCAUUGACGUUACCCGCAGAAGAAGC